AACGAACGCUAGCGGCAUGCCUAACACAUGCAAGUCGAACGAGACCUUCGGGUCUAGUGGCGCACGGGUGCGUAACGCGUGGGAAUCUGCCCUUGGGUUCGGAAUAACAGUUAGAAAUGACUGCUAAUACCGGAUGAUGACGUAAGUCCAAAGAUUUAUCGCCCAAGGAUGAGCCCGCGUAGGAUAGCUAGUUGGUAAGGUAAAGGCUUACCAAGGCGACGAUCCUUAGCUGGUCUGAGAGGAUGAUCAGCCACACUGGGACUGAGACACGGCCCAGGCUCCUACGGGAGGCAGCAGUGGGGAAUAUUGGACAAUGGGCGAAAGCCUGAUCCAGCAAUGCCGCGUGAGUGAUGAAGGCCUUAGGGUUGUAAAGCUCUUUUACCAGGGAUGAUAACGACAGUACCUGGAGAAUAAGCUCCGGCUAACUCCGUGCCAGCCGCCGCGGUAAUAC
rnacentral:rRNA from 1 species